UACAUAAUUUUAAUUUUAAUAACGCACCUUACUUCAAUAUGAUUUUUACUUGGCUCAACUAUUUAAUAACGAAAUACUUAAUAUUAAAAAUGACAAGAUAAGAAAAAAACGCCGUCAAAUUCUUAUCCAUGGAAAUUUCCAAGCAUCCGUAAAUGAAAAGAACAAUAAUUACGAAAUGUUACGCUCCACGCAUACGUAUAUGCUGCAUUAAUAUCUUAAUUGCGGCAAUAAAUUUGCGUUUUCAGUUCUCAUUAUUUCGACGGGAAUUUCAUGAAAGAUGAAUAUUAGAUAGGUGCGUUUAAAUGUCGGCGUGCAAAACUACGGAAAGCAUUCUAUCGAUUUUUCCGCGCCCGGGCGCUAAUUAAAGCUCGCUUAUAUUUUCCUCAAACCAAUCUCCCAUAAUAUUACAGCUCCUAGUGGUUAAUUAGUGGUUAAUGACGUCGAGAACAACGCGACUUUAUUCCCGAAAUCGUCAAAAAACGCGUGUAAAAUGGCGGGAGAGCGCCAAGUUCUUGAAAACAGUCGGUGCAACGGGGCUGUCGGACGGUGCCGUUGCGGCAACGAAAUUUAACAUUAUCAGAAUAGCCUCGUAUUUUCGCUAAUUAACGUCCAGCAACAACAAUAUUAUAAUAAUAUUCUCCUCUAGUGUCACGAGCCGAAGCCGUGGCCGUGGCCGUGGCCGUACAAAGGCAGCGACCUGACUUUAAUGAAGUUUGCCGAAGCAUUUAUCGGCACUGCGGAUUAAAACCGGACCGCACACUUCCAUCCGGUCCGCUUUCUACUUAAGCGUCCUCGGGAAUCGGCGAUGCGACGUUAAUUCCAGACACCUGCGCCGGAUCGCGCCGUCGACCACCGGUCUCGCCUUCCUGUUACUUUUUCGAGACCAUUUCAACACAUCUGGAAACCGCUACGCCGACGUUAAUUCGAGGUGUCCGCAUAAAAUGCUUCAUAGAUAUUUAUUUGCGAUUUGAAGUGCACCAAUCUGACAUGGAAUGUAAAUUACUUUCAUUAAUAAACUUUUUAUCUGCAUA